CCUACGGGUGGCAGCAGUGGGGGAUAUUGGACAAUGGGGGGAACCCUGAUCCCGCGACGCCGCGUGAGUGAAGAAGUAUUUCGGUAUGUAAAGCUCUGUCAGCAGGGCAGAACGCAAUGACGGUACCUGACCAAGAAGCCCCGGCUAACUACGUGCCAGCAGCCGCGGUACUACGUAGGGGGCAAGCGGUAUCCGGAAUGCCUGGGUGUAAAGGGAGCGUAGACGGCGUGGCAAGUCUGGAGUGAAAGGCGGGGGCUCAACCCCCGGACUGCUCGGGAAACUGUAUGGCUGGAGUGCAGUAGAGGUAAGCGGAAUUCCUAGUGUAGCGGUGAAAUGCGUAGAUAUUAGGAGGAACACCAGUGGCGAAGGCGGCUUACUGGACUGUAACUGACGUUGAGGCGCGAAAGCGUGGGGAGCAAACAGGAUUAGAUACCCUUGUAGUC
rnacentral:rRNA from 1 species